rnacentral:rRNA from 1 species
GGGGAAAAGCUCAAAUUUUAAAUCUGCUAGGUUUUACUUAUCAGAAUUGUAAUUUGAAGAAGCGUUUUCCGCGUCUCAGUUGGCCCAAAUCCUUUGGGAUGAGGUAUCAUGGAGGGU